rnacentral:rRNA from 1 species
AUUGAACGCUGGCGGCAGGCUUAACACAUGCAAGUCGAACGGUAACAUAAAGAAGCUUGCUUCUUUGAUGACAAGUGGCGGACGGGUGAGUAAUGCUUGGGAAUCUAGCUUAUGGAGGGGGAUAACUACGGGAAACUGUAGCUAAUACCGCGUAAUAUCGAAAGAUUAAAGUGUGGGACCUUCGGGCCACAUGCCAUAGGAUGAGCCCAAGUGGGAUUAGGUAGUUGGUGAGGUAAAGGCUCACCAAGCCGACGAUCUCUAGCUGGUCUGAGAGGAUGACCAGCCACACUGGGACUGAGACACGGCCCAGACUCCUACGGGAGGCAGCAGUGGGGAAUAUUGCGCAAUGGGGGCAACCCUGACGCAGCCAUGCCGCGUGAAUGAAGAAGGCCUUCGGGUUGUAAAGUUCUUUCGGUAGCGAGGAAGGCAUUUAGUUUAAUAGACUAGGUGAU